ACAACUGCGAACAAUGGAUCUCUUGGCUCCUGCAACGAUGAAGAACGCAGCAAAGUGCGAUACGUGGUGCGACCUGCACGAACCUGUGAGUCAUCGAAUCUUUGAACGCAACUUGCGCCCUCGGGCAUGUGUGCUUGAG
rnacentral:rRNA from 1 species